rnacentral:rRNA from 1 species
AUGGGAUCCUUCCUCUCUUCGGCUGCCGGUGCCGGUGCGGCGGGCGAGGUCGAUCAUGGCGCACGCUCCCUCUGCUCUCCUACCAUAAAGGAGUGCACCCGCCGUAUGACAAACCAGGAGCUAGCUCGGUUAGAUGGAUACGAUCCAGUAAGCUUCCAAGAACUCAUGGCCAGAGGAAAUGCUGGCGGCCCCACGUUGUUACAAGACGAGGCUGACUCCGCCGCCGUUUGUAAGCUUGUCCACUGCGCCCUCAAACACUACAACUCCAAAAACCGGGGCGACUUCGAGUAUCCCGCCGAGCUGACCACGGAGAUGAAGGCCACUGGUAUCAGUUUCAGGGAACGUUUUUGGUACCAUGUUGGCUUCUUGGCGCGCCGGAGGAAUGCUGGCGCUGAUGAUGAGUGGCAACACUUCUUUGCCGAGCUACGCUUCAAUGAGUGGACCCGCAGACCAAAUGUUCAAACAUGCACCAUCUUAGAAAAGCCGUUGUGCCGCUUCAGAAGCAGGUGUGCUUUUUGUACAGAUGGGUCUAAGAUUUUGCACCCAAGUGAUAUGGAAUUUGCGUGUGGAAAGGAGGGGCACGAAAAGGAAUUCUUCAACAAGAAAGAUAUGCAAGUGUGGCCGAUUGAUCCUAUGAGGCAUGCAUCACGGACGUAG